rnacentral:tRNA from 1 species
GGAGGUAUAGCUCAAGUGGCUUAGCAUGCACAAGGUCCUGGGUUCAAUCCCCAGUACCUCCU